AGCACAGAGAGCUUGCUCUUGGGUGACGAGUGGCGGACGGGUGAGUAUGUCUGGGAAACUGCCCGAUGGAGGGGGAUAACUACUGGAAACGGUAGCUAAUACCGCAUAACGUCGCAAGACCAAAGUGGGGGACCUUCGGGCCUCACACCAUCGGAUGUGCCCAGAUGGGAUUAGCUAGUAGGUGGGGUAAUGGCUCACCUAGGCGACGAUCCCUAGCUGGUCUGAGAGGAUGACCAGCCACACUGGAACUGAGACACGGUCCAAACUCAUACGGGAGGCAGCAGUGGGGAAUAUUGCACAAUGGGCGCAAGCCUGAUGCAGCCAUGCCGCGUGUAUGAAGAAGGCCUUCGGGUUGUAAAGUACUUUCAGCGAGGAGGAAGGCAUUGUGGUUAAUAACCGCAGUGAUUGACGUUACUCGCAGAAGAAGCACCGGCUAACUCCGUGCCAGCAGCCGCGGUAAUACGGAGGGUGCAAGCGUUAAUCGGAAUUACUGGGCGUAAAGCGCACGCAGGCGGUCUGUCAAGUCGGAUGUGAAAUCCCCGGGCUCAACCUGGGAACUGCAUUCGAAACUGGCAGGCUAAAGUCUUGUAGAGGGGGGUAGAAUUCCAGGUGUAGCGGUGAAAUGCGUAUAGAUCUGGAGGAAUACCGGUGGGCGAAAGCGGCCCCCCUGGAAAAAGACUGACCCUCCGGUGCGAAAGCCUGGGGGAGCAAACAGGAUU
rnacentral:rRNA from 1 species